GACAAACCAGUGCCUCAUGUUUCUGGAAACGCUGCAGCAUUUAACUUCAAUUUUAAUCUGGAUAACGCCAAAGCUUUUCCUCAAAUUCACCCCUGGAGUCAGCUCAUAGAUGCUCUGAUUUUGUCUACCAUUGCUCCUCCUUAAUAUCUCUCGCACAGGUGCCAUUGACCUUUAGAUGGGCUGUACGGUGUGGGGUUCGGUGCCAUGGAUCUGCUUCUCCAGGGACCAGGAUCUUGAGAUCUUCAGGCUGGGUUUCCAUGGAGGCAUGGAGCUGCUUUUCCUCCUUCAUAACUGCACUCAAAACAGCCCUGUUGCUCUAGAAUGGAGACUUGGGCAACUCCUUCUGGCACAGAUUUGUUCACCUCAGGUGAAAUUCAGAUAGAAGCAAGCUGCAGGCAGUUUCACCUCUAAGUCCAUGGGUUCUCAACUGGUAACGUCCUCUUAUGGAUGUUAGCCCAUGAGGUCAAUCCUGUAGCAAUCUAAGGCUUGAGAAAAAUUAAUCUUCUGGAAAAUUCCAAGAAUACAUCUUAGGGAAACUGGCUCUACCUUUAUGACUUGGAUCACACAAGGAUAUGCUUUUCAUCUUGGACUAGAACUGAGAGCCAAUGGAUGUGUUAUCUAAAACUAUCCCAGUGUGUUCACUAUACAGAGGAAGAUUCUGAGAUUCAAGACUCAAGACUGAAGAAGAUCAUUAUUUUUAUUAUUUUAGUCUUAUGCACAAAAUGAUAUCUACUGAAUAAGCAGGUUUUUAAUAGGUGACUUAUAUAUGUUAGCAAAAAUAAACACUUUGUCUUUUAGAUCUAUUCUAGUUUUUCAGUAGCUGUAGACUUAAGUGCUAACUUUUAGCCCAUAGGAUAAGAAGAAACCAAGUCCUAAAAGUAGGCCAGCACCAGGGUUCAGGCCUCUGACUUCAAGCCAAGGGCUCAUCAUCUUGAAUUGCGCACGAAUUUUUACACAGCGCCAAAGGAAACUGCCUGUACUUACUGUUGUAGGUGCUUUGCUGGAUUCAGGAUGCAGACAAGGUCCACGCAUUGUGGUUGGAACAAUGACUAGAUCUUUACCUGGUCCACAGCCCUCCCCAGUCUGGCUGCAACCUCUCAUGAGGCUGAGCUCACCAUGAACCCCUGCUCUAGGCGUCUGCAUAGUGUUCUGUUUGUCCCCGUGACUGUCCACCUCUUCUUUGGCCUGUUGGCAUGCGCUUAUCCUCCAGACCUCAGUCCAAAGUUCAGUCCCGGAGCAGACACAACCCUGUUUGCAGAGAGCCAACAUUCUAAUUGACAGUGCGUGGUGGGAAACAGUGAACCGAGGGAAAGAGUGCCAGUGUUAGAGAGCCACAGUGCAGUGAAGAAGAGAAGGCAAGAGGAUGUGAUGCAAAAUCACAGGACCUGGCUUCCAGACCAUUCUGCUUCCAUGAGAACAUUUCAGUUGAGAACCGGAUGGCAUGAAAACAGGAUUCCACUUGCAAGCCGUGUGAUAUGGGGCAGCUCACCAGAUCCUGGACCUCCAUAAACCCCUCUGCAACGUGGAGAGAAUCAGAUUUCCCCACAGACUCCAUGAAGGGCUCCAGAGUGCCCUCCCCCGUUAGCCACUGAUGCAUUCAUGAGGAAGAGAAAGAGUUAAAUGCUCCUUUCGAGGAAGCGGUGGUGGCCGAGUGCUGUGGGCACUGUGAGAUCAGAGCUGACAGCCCAGACUGAAUCGCAACCCUCACUAGGGCCAUCGCGUUUUGCAGGGAGCUCUUCCCAAGUGCCCACUUUUACUAAAUUACAGAAAAUACCUAACAGGAUAGUUUCUUCGUGUUUUAAAAAUCAAUGAUCAAUUUUUGUUUUGUUUUGUUUUUAAAAUACAGUGUUUUCAGAGAUAAGAGUAUUACAUUGGAAACCUGUUGUGACACAGAAAAUUAGAUGAGCCUGUGGUUGAUUAAAACAGUCAAGUUGACCUACGUGUCAUCUCAGUGCACAGUAAGGAAGCGUCUUCAGCUUAGAAAAUUGCUGGGAUGAACACAAACAAAUCUAGUUCUUUGGAAUGAGAAUUUUCAGAUUUUGGAUUUAUGGUCAGAAAUGGCUGAGUCCCAGGGCCAGGAGCGGUGGCUCAUGCCUGUAAUCCCAGCACUUUGGGAGGCCAAGGCAGAUGGAUCGCCUGAGAUCAGGAGUUCGAGACCAGCCUGGCCAACAAAGUGAAACCCUGUCUGUACUAAAAAUACAAACUUUAGCUGAGCGAGGUGGCGAACACCUGUAAUCUCAGCUACUUGGGAGGCUGAGGCAGGAGAAUCAACUGAACCCAGGAGAUGGAGGUUGCAGUGAGCUGAGAUCAUACCAUUGUACUCCAGCCUGGGCAACAAGAGUGAAACUCCGUCUCAAAAAAAAGAAAAGAAAAAAGAAAGAAACUGCUGAGUCCUGAAAUACUGAUAAAAUGACCAGCCCUGUUCACGUUCAAAACCUGACACUUUUAGUGUCAGGGUGACCAGGAAUUGUGGCUGUAAAGGAAGCCUGAGACUUCUCUGGUUCUGGCAUGAAAGAAUUUUCCAAAACUAUGUAGACGCUGGGGCCUUACAAGUUUGAUAUUAGUGUAAACAAAUGUAUUCUCAACAAGAAUAUAGAUGAGUUUGCAAUGAAUUUCAGAAUACUUAACUCCAGGCUUAUAAGAGAUUAAAUAAUUCUUUAAAAUGGAUUCUCAAGCACUUUAUUUAUGCUACUCAUGGGAGCUACACUGGCAAGGGAGGUCACAGUUUCUGACGUGCCUUUUUUCUAAACUUCUGACUUUGUUUGUACACAUGCAGAACAUGAUUUAACUAUUGGGAUCCCAAUCCUCUAUAUUGGGGGAUUUUUCUUUAUAUUUUUUACCUUUUGAUAAAGUAGAUCUUUAGAAAUCAGAAUUCCUGAGUUUCCAGCACUGUCAAAUUUAGAUUCUUGGGAAUGCUGAGGUCUAACCUUGACUCUUUCAAAUGAAUGCUGGUGAACUUGUCUAAACUCCUGUUCCUGCAUUCAGUUUCUCCCUCUGUGAAGCGGAGGCAAUGUCACUCCCUCCUUUUAAAAUCCUUAAGGUUUGGGAAAGGUUUUCAGAGUAGUCAAAUAAUUUAAUACCCUUAGGUAAAAUGUGCUUUCAAAUUGUAUUUCUACCCAUGGAAAUGAAGAUUAGUCUCUUCAUUUUUUUUCUUAGAAUGGCCACUGGGAGAUUCUGCUAAAAUAAAAGAUUUUUUUUUUAAUAGUGCUGUUCAGGGGUGUUCGGAUUCGAUUGCCUUUCUUCUAACUCAAGGGUGAGUUUCAGAGACCCUGGUUCACACAGGACGGGGCAACUUCCGUCGUGUCCUUCUCAGAUGAGGCAUCUCACACUCGUCUUGUCUUGUGAAUAACUGCACAACUGGUCAUGAGGAAUGCUACAGUGUGGCCUGUCACGGGAGCCCACCUCGCACACAUUUAAGGCCAAUACACGUCUGGAGCUUUGACAGGGCUGUGUUUAUGUCUGCCUUUCACGAAAAUUGGUAUUCCUCUCAUCUUUUAUUUCAGCAGUUACAGUUAAACUACACCUUGAUGAACUACGCGUGUCUAUUCUCCCCAGUUCCCGGCCCACCUCCCUCAGCAACCCUCCCACAAACUGAAAUGGAAGCCGGGCUGUGAAACAUGAAACAGGCUGUUAUAAAACUGUAUUUUAUAGUUGCAGCAUGUUACAGUUGAAGGUGUGUUUACGUAGCUGAGGAGACAGAAACACCAGUCUUCCCACUCCAGAGUUUACCUAACUUCCUUCAGGACUAAGGGUAGAGCUGUAGAUCACAAUGUACCCCUUGGGGAGCUAAAGAGGAAGAGAAAGAGUUAAACACUCCUUUAGAUGAAGUCCACAUGCUAAGAAACAAAAUGAAUGGCACAAACAAACACUUCUGGG
rnacentral:lncRNA from 1 species